UGGGGAAUUUUGCACAAUGGGGGAAACCCUGAUGCAGCGACGCCGCGUGAUUUAGAAGGCCUUCGGGUUGUAAAAAUCUUUUCUAUGGGAAGAAAAUGACAGUACCAUAGGAAUAAGGACCGGCUAAUUACGUGCCAGCAGACGCGGUAAUACGUAAGGUCCGAGCGUUGUCCGGAAUCAUUGGGCGUAAAGGGUACGUAGGCGGGUAAGCAAGUUAGAAGUGAAAUCCUAUAGCUCAACUAUAGUAAGCUGUUAAAACUGCUCAUCUUGAGGUAUGGAAGGGAAAGUGGAAUUCCUAGUGUAGCGGUGAAAUGCGCAGAUAUUAGGAGGAAUACCGGUGGCGAAGGCGACUUUCUGGCCAUAACCUGACGCUGAGGUACGAAAGCGUGGGUAGCAAACAGG
rnacentral:rRNA from 1 species